rnacentral:miRNA from 14 species
UGUGGCCUUGUCAGAGGAAGUGUGUCAUUGUGAAGGUGAGCUUUGAGACUCUUUUCCUCGGGCUGGAGAGAUGGCUCAGCCGUUAAAGGCUAGGCUCACAACCAAAAAUAUA